UAAGGUGUUGCUAUGGUAUCCGGGUUGGUUGCUAAGGUGUUGCUAGGUGGUUGCUAAGGUGUUGCUAUGGUAUCCAGGGUGGUUGCUAAGGUGUUGCUAGGUGGUUGCUAGGGUGUUGCUAGGUGGUUGCUAUGGUGUUGCUAUGGUAUCCGGGGUGGUUGCUAAGGUGUUGCUAGGUGGUUGCUAGGUGGUUGCUAGGGUGUUGCUAGGUGGUUGCUAAGGUGUUGAUUUGGUAUCCAGGGUGGUUGCUAAGGUAUUGCUAGGUGGUUGCUAAGGUGUUGCUAGGUGGUUGCUAAGGUGUUGCUAUGGUAUCCGGGGUGGUUGCUAAGGUGUUGCUAGGUGGUUGCAAGGUGGUUGCUAAGGUGUUGCUAGGUGGUUGCUAGGGUGUUGCUAGGUGGUUGCUAAGGUUCUGCUAGGUGGUUGCUAAGGUGUUGCUAUGGUAUCCAGGGUGGUUGCUAAGGUGUUGCUAGGUGGUUGCUAAGGUGUUGCUAUGGUAUCCGGGGUGGUUGCUAAGGUGUUGCUAGGUGGUUGCUAAGGUGUUGCUAUGGUAUCCUGGGCGGUUGCUAAGGUGUUGCUAGGUGGUUGCUAGGCAGUUGCUAAGGUGUUGCUAUGGUAUCCUGGGUGGUUGCUAAGGUGUUUCUAGGUGGUUGCUAAGGUGUUGCUAGGUGGUUGCUAAGGUGUUGCUAUGGUAUCCGGGGUGGUUGCUACGGUGUUGCUAGGUGGUUGCUAGGCGGUUGCUUAAGUGUUGCUAUGGUAUCCGGGGUGGAUGCUAUGGUGUGGUUGCUAAGGUGUUGCUAGGUGGUUGCUUAGGUGUUGCUAUGGUAUCCAGGGUGGUUGCUAAGGUGUUGCUAGGUGGUUGCUAAGGUGUUGCUAUGGUAUCCUGGGUGGUUGCUAAGGUGUUUCUAGGUGGUUGCUAAGGUGUUGCUAGGUGGUUGCUAAGGUGUUGCUAUGGUAUCCAGAGUGGUUGCUAAGGUGUUGCUAGGUGGUUGCUAGGUGGUUGCUAUGGUGUUGCUAGGUGGUUGCUAAGGUGUUGCUAGGUGGUUGCUAAGGUGUUGCUAUGGUAUCCAGGGUGGUUGCUAAGGUGUUGCUAGGUGGUUGCUAAGGUGUUGCUAGGUGGUUGCUAAGGUGUUGCUAUGGUAUCCGGGGUGGUUGCUAAGGUGUUGCUAGGUGGUUGCAAGGUGGUUGCUAAGGUGUUGCUAGGCGGUUGCUAAGGUGUUGCUAUGGUGUCUAGGGUGGUUGCUAAGGUGUUGCUAGGUGGUUGCUAAGAUGUUGCUAUGGUAUCUGGGGUGGUUGCUAAGGUGUUGCUAGGUGUAUCUAACUGGUCGCUAGGCAGUUGCUACCAUUUCUAAAGUGGUUGCUAAGCAGUUGCUAGGCAGUUGCUAACGUUUUCCAGGUGGUUGCUAAGGUGUUGCUAUCUGGUUGCUAGGCAGUUGCUAACGUAUUACACAUGGUUGCUAAGUGGUUGCUAGGCAGUUGCUAAUGUUUUCCAGGUGGUUGCUAAGGUGUAUCUAACUGGUUCCUAGGCAGUAGUAGAUAAAAAGAAAGAGUGUUGAAUGUAGAAGUACAGAAAAAGGGAGAGCCUGAAAUAGAGAAGUAGAGAGAAAAUCAGCGUGAGAAGUAGAGAAAGAACACCCGAGAAUGUGAGAAAAAGAGUGACAAGUAGAGAGAAAUAUUGAGCGAGAGAAAGAGAAUUAGGGAAAAAGAGAGAUCGAGAAAUAAAGAAGUAGAGAAAGAAAAAGGAUGUAGUAGAGAGAUAGAUAGAAAGAGAAAGCAAGACAGAAAAGUAGAGUGAAAGAGAAGUAGAGAGAAGAGCGAGAAAUAAAGAGAGAGUAAGAGAGAAAUAGAGAAAUAGAAAAGUAGAAAGAAAGAGACAUAGAAAAGUAGAGAGAGUGAGAAAGAGAGAGUGAGAAAUAGAGAAGUAGAGAGAGAGUGAGAAAGAGAGAGUGAGAAAUAGAGAAGUAGAGAGAGUGCGAAAUAGAGACGUAGAGAGAGAGUGAGAAAGAGAG